UUUGAGGAUUUUUGCUUAAUGCAUUCAACCCUUCAUAUGGGAGCUUGAAGAGUUAAACUACACCAGGAGACACUGCUAGUUAAAACUGUUGCACUACAACAGUGGACAGAGAUUGGAGAGUGGCCACAGCCAUAUAUUCAUCAUCUUCAACCUUCCUUGGGUUAGGUUUGGCUGUGUUCCCAGAUGAGUCACUUUGCUAGGUCUGAAAACCAACAGCAACAGCUUGUGGACAGAGAAGAGCAGAGCAAGAAGCGAAUUCUGAGGUCCACCAUCUCAAACCAGGUGCAAAAUGAUGGUUCAAGAGGUGGAGUCAGUCACUUUUCUUACCCAGUAAACCACACACUGGGACAACCUGCUUCAGCAAGUAAACAACAAAAAAACCUUCAUAAUUCUGAUCUACAACACUCCAAGGCUAGACACCAGAAGUUCACAUAGAUUUAGCCAAAGACAAAAAAAUAAAGGUGAAGAACACUGAAGGUUAAAGCUCUUUUUUCCCAUUUGGCACAAAAAACUAAUUUUGUACUCAUCAGAACACAGCAACAGGACAAAACCACAAAGAUGGAGCAAAUGAGAAAGUAAAAAAGAAAAUAUGUAGAUGCAGGUGAAACAGAGCCAGAAGAUGGUUGACUUUGACAAAAUUUAUCACACCAGACUGUCUGCAUCAUAAAAUGUGAAAAAUGGGGAAAUAAAACAGUCAACCAACAAGACCCUUGGAAUCAUUUAUCACUAAUAAGUGACAGAAAACCAUAAGACAAAUAUGAAAGGUUUGUAAUAAUGAUUUCCUGUUUCUUUAUCAAUGUAGUCCAUCCACAGCUUAGAGAAAUAUACUUAUAAAGAACUGUCACAAGAGCAAAACCGAGUUCACGUGUGAUGAAAUU